GCCACCGCCACCACCACCCACCAUGGCUCUGAAGAGAAUCCACAAGGAAUUGAAUGACCUUGCAAGGGACCCUCCAGCACAGUGUUCAGCAGGUCCUGUUGGAUAUGAUAUGUUCCACUGGCAAGCUACAAUAAUGGGGCCAAAUGACAGUCCCUAUCAGGGUGGAGUACUUUUCUUGAAAAUUCAUUUCCCAACACAUCCCUUCCAACCACCUAAACUUGCAUUUACAACAAGAUAAGGUUGCAUUAGCAUCCAAACAUUAACAGUAAUGGCAGCAUCUGUCUAGAUAGUCUACAGUCCCAGUGGUCUCCAGCACUAUUUCAAAAGUACUUUUGUCCAUCUGUUCUCUGUUGUGAGAUCCCAAUCCAAAUGAUCCCUUAGUGUCUGAGAUUGCCGGGAUCUACAAAACAGAUAGGGAAAAGUACAACAGAAUAGUUGGAGAAGGGACUCAGAAUGGGAGAGGGAAGGUCCCCGGAAAACAAACUAUAAGGCAAGCCACCACUCUGAGGCCGCCCCCAGAAAGAAUCCUGCGGGAAGCAGGGCGCGUGCCUCUGCAACAGCUAGGAUCGCACCCAAACCGCCGACCCAACAGCCAAAGCUGCCCGGCUGGCCGCGAACCUCCGCACCCACGUGAGGUCUUCGCGCCCAUCUGUGACAUUCAAUGCCCACUUGAGAUUGCGUGCACCUGCAGAACUGUCGCCCAGCUCUCGAGGUACACCCCCCAUGUAGCCUCCUCAGCCAGGGAUGUUCCCUCCAUCAGCCACCUGCCGCGCUACACUCACCCCGCCCCUCACCAUGGCGCUUCCCGGUGCGCUGCUCCUUCCCAUUCUCCACGCCCAGCCGGUGGCGCGCCCGCGUCUCCGCAGCCCAGACUGACCCCGCCCACGUGCGCGAGCCCCGCCCGCCGCCUCCGCCCAUUGGCUCUCGGGCGGGGCGGGGGCGGCUCCUGCCGGGUGCGGGCGGGGCGGUGGUUCCGAGGCUGGCGCGCGUGGCCCAGAUCCUCUCACUGCUUGCUGCGCACCCAAGCGAUCCGACAUCCUUCGGUCUUCCUCACCAUGGGCGACGACGCCUCCGCGACCUCCAGGGGCUCCCUGCGGAAGUUCCUUGAGCACCUCUCCGGGGCUGGCAAAGCCAUCGGUGUACUGACCAGCGGCGGGGAUGCCCAAGGUAUGAAUGCUGCUGUCCGUGCUGUGGUGCGCAUGGGAAUAUACGUGGGGGCCAAAGUGUACUUUAUAUGUGAGGGUUACCAAGGCAUGGUGGAUGGAGGUUCUAACAUUGUGGAAGCAGACUGGGAGAGUGUCUCCAGCAUUCUGCAAGUGGUAGGUACCAUGUAG